GCGGGUGUAGUUCAAUGGCAGAACUUCAGCUUCCCAAGCUGGCCACGAGGGUUCGAUUCCCUUCACCCGCUCCA
rnacentral:tRNA from 1 species